rnacentral:rRNA from 1 species
CAGUAGCCGCGGUAACACGUAGGUGGCAAGCGUUGUCCGGAAUUAUUGGGCGUAAAGGGCUCGCAGGCGGUUUCUUAAGUCUGAUGUGAAAGCCCCCGGCUCAACCGGGGAGGGUCAUUGGAAACUGGGAAACUUGAGUGCAGAAGAGGAGAGUGGAAUUCCACGUGUAGCGGUGAAAUGCGUAGAGAUGUGGAGGAACACCUGUGGCGAAGGCGACUCUCUGGUCUGUAACUGACGCUGAGGAGCGAAAGCGUGGGGAGCGAACAGGAUUAGAUACCCGGGUAGUCCCUGUCUCUUAUAC